UACGGAGGGAGCUAGCGUUGUUCGGAAUUACUGGGCGUAAAGCGCACGUAGGCGGCUUUUCAAGUCAGGGGUGAAAGCCCGGGGCUCAACCCCGGAAUAGCCCUUGAAACUGGAAGGCUAGAAUCACGGAGAGGUGGGUGGAAUUCCGAGUGUAGAGGUGAAAUUCGUAGAUAUUCGGAAGGACACCAGUGGCGAAGGCGGCCCACUGGACGUGUAUUGACGCUGAGGUGCGAAAGCGUGGGGAGCAAACAGG
rnacentral:rRNA from 1 species